rnacentral:rRNA from 1 species
CCUACGGGUGGCUGCAGUGAGGAAUAUUGGUCAAUGGGCGCGAGCCUGAACCAGCCAAGUCGCGUGAGGGAAGACGGUCCUAUGGAUUGUAAACCUCUUUUGUCGGGGAGCAAAAGACGCCACGCGUGGCGUUCCGAGAGUACCCGAAGAAAAAGCAUCGGCUAACUCCGUGCCAGCAGCCGCGGUAAUACGGAGGAUGCGAGCGUUAUCCGGAUUUAUUGGGUUUAAAGGGUGCGUAGGCGGUCGGAUAAGUUAGAGGUGAAAUCCCGAGGCUCAACUUCGGAAUUGCCUCUGAUACUGUUCGGCUAGAGAGUAGUUGCGGUAGGCGGAAUGUAUGGUGUAGCGGUGAAAUGCAUAGAUAUCACGCAGAACUCCGAUUGCGAAGGCAGCAUACCGGCGCCCAACUGACGCUGAAGCACGAAAGCGUGGGUAUCGAACAGGAUUAGAUACCCUGGUAGUC